rnacentral:tRNA from 1 species
UAGAUUAAAGUCCGCUGGGUUGGAUGUUUAGUUGUUAACUAAGUUGUUAUGGGAUCGAAGCCCAUUAAUCUAGC